AAGACGACAUUGUGUCCGCCUGUAAGACGUAUUAUGAGACGGUACGCAGGAGCUUCAGAUAUACGCAGCCAGAGAACUCAAUGCGGGCGGAAGCUGCCAAGAAUUCAGCUCGGAGUCGAGCGAGAAGAAAGAGGCUGCAGGAAUCGAGGCAGAGCGUGCUAGCUGAUGAGGAAGUGGAACUCUGGAUGUCCGCCACCGUCGACCUCAUGUCUGACGAGGAAGAUGGCGUCGUUGGCGGGGU